UAAAGUAGGGAAAGAUACUGUAGCUCUGUAGAGGAUGAAACAUUUGCACAAUUCAGAGUGUUGAAAAUUUCAGUGGUCAGAGCCACAACUCUCUUCAUCAGUUACACAGGAUCAAGGGUACAGCAAAGCUAGAAGGGAAACUCGAAGGAACAUUUGACCCAUUUGAACAAGCUGUGGAAGUGGCUGUGUGGCACUAAGACCCAGUUGAACAGUCUGUGGAAGUGGCGGUGUGGCAUUAAGACCAAGUUGAACUAGCUGUGGCAGUGGCUGCGUGGUCUUGGAAGACCACAUGCACAUCGCACUAAGGU